rnacentral:rRNA from 1 species
GAUGAACGCUGGCGGCGUGCCUAAUACAUGCAAGUCGAGCGAACGGACGAGAAGCUUGCUUCUCUGAUGUUAGCGGCGGACGGGUGAGUAACACGUGGAUAACCUACCUAUAAGACUGGGAUAACUUCGGGAAACCGGAGCUAAUACCGGAUGAUAUUUUGAACCGCAUGGUUCAAAAGUGAAAGACGGUCUUGCUGUCACUUAUAGAUGGAUCCGCGCUGCAUUAGCUAGUUGGUAAGGUAACGGCUUACCAAGGCAACGAUGCAUAGCCGACCUGAGAGGGGGAUCGGCCACACUGGAACUGAGACACGGUCCAGACCCCUAGGGGAGGCAGCAGUGGGAAUCUUCCGCAAUGGGCGAAAGCCUGACGGAGCAACGCCGCGUGAGUGAUGAAGGUCUUCGGAUCGUAAAACUCUGUUAUUAGGGAAGAACAUAUGUGUAAGUAACUGUGCACAUCUUGACGGUACCUAAUCAGAAAGCCACGGCUAACUACGUG